rfam:Sphingomonadales bacterium EhC05 A9_Contig43, whole genome shotgun sequence.
GCACCCGUAGCUCAGCUGGAUAGAGCGCUGCCCUCCGAAGGCAGAGGUCGCGCGUUCGAAUCGCGCCGGGUGCA